rnacentral:rRNA from 1 species
CCCUUAGAUGUUCUGGGCCGCACGCGCGCUACACUGAUACGUUCAACAAGUUCCUUGGCCGAAAGGUCUGGGUAAUCUUUGAAACCGUAUCGUGAUGGGGAUAGAACAUUGCAAUUAUUGUUCUUCAACGAGGAAUGCCUAGUAAGCGCGAGUCAUCAACUCGCGUUGAUUACGUCCCUGCCCUUUGUACACACCGCCCGUCGCUCCUACCGAUUGAAUGGUCCGGUGAAAUCUCGGGACGGCGGCUUGGUCGCUUGCGUCCGACUGCUGAAACUUGAUUAAACCAUAUCAUUUAGAGGAAGGUGAAGUCGUAACA